CAAGAAAUAAUUUAAUUAGAAUGCCAGCUUUGGGUGCUGGUAGUGGGAGUAUUUUCUCUUUCUUGA
rnacentral:tRNA from 1 species